CCAAUAGCGUAUAUUAGUGUUGUUGCGGUUAAAAAGCUCGUAGUUGAAUUUCGGGAUUGGGAUAUAUCGGUCAUGCCUUUAGGGGCAUGAAUCGGUGUGUAGCCAAUUUCUCACCUUCUGGUGAAUUGGGAUGCUCUUGGGUGUUUCAAUGAACUAGGACUUUUACUUUGAAAAAAUUAUAGUGUUUAAAGCGGGCAUUUUUGCUUGAAUACAUUAGCAUGGAAUAAUAAAAUAGGACGAUGGUUCUAUUUUGUUGGUUUUAGGACCACGUAAUGAUUAAUAGGGAUAGUUGGGGGCAUUAGUAUUCAAUAGUCAGAGGUGAAAUUCUUGGAUUUAUUGAGGACUAACUACUGCGAAAGCAUUUGCCAAGGAUGUUUUCAUUAAUCAAGAACGAAAGUUAGGGGAUCGAAGACGAUUUAUGUACGUCGUAGUCUUAACCAUAAACUAUGCCGACUAGGAAUCAGACAAAGUUCAUUUUUUAACGACUUGUUUGGUACCUUACGGGAAACUAAAAGUGUUUGGGUC
rnacentral:misc_RNA from 1 species